rnacentral:rRNA from 11 species
CGCCAUUCUCUAAAUAUCCUAAAGGCACCAGCGCCUGUCUGAUCAUGGAAGAUAAGAGGGGUCAUCCCUGGUAAGUACUUGGAUGGGAGGUCACCAAUAAAUACUAGGUGCUCUGGCCU